GGGUUGUGAGGUUAAGCGACUAAGCGUACACGGUGGAUGCCCUGGCAGUCAGAGGCGAUGAAGGACGUGCUAAUCUGCGAUAAGCGUCGGUAAGGUGAUAUGAACCGUUAUAACCGGCGAUUUCCGAAUGGGGAAACCCAGUGUGUUUCGACACACUAUCAUUAACUGAAUCCAUAGGUUAAUGAGGCGAACCGGGGGAACUGAAACAUCUAAGUACCCCGAGGAAAAGAAAUCAACCGAGAUUCCCCCAGUAGCGGCGAGCGAACGGGGAGCAGCCCAGAGCCUGAAUCAGUGUGUGUGUUAGUGGAAGCGUCUGGAAAGGCGCGCGAUACAGGGUGACAGCCCCGUACACAAAAAUGCACAUGCUGUGAGCUCGAUGAGUAGGGCGGGACACGUGGUAUCCUGUCUGAAUAUGGGGGGACCAUCCUCCAAGGCUAAAUACUCCUGACUGACCGAUAGUGAACCAGUACCGUGAGGGAAAGGCGAAAAGAACCCCGGCGAGGGGAGUGAAAAAGAACCUGAAACCGUGUACGUACAAGCAGUGGGAGCACGCUUAGGCGUGUGACUGCGUACCUUUUGUAUAAUGGGUCAGCGACUUAUAUUCUGUAGCAAGGUUAACCGAAUAGGGGAGCCGAAGGGAAACCGAGUCUUAACUGGGCGUUAAGUUGCAGGGUAUAGACCCGAAACCCGGUGAUCUAGCCAUGGGCAGGUUGAAGGUUGGGUAACACUAACUGGAGGACCGAACCGACUAAUGUUGAAAAAUUAGCGGAUGACUUGUGGCUGGGGGUGAAAGGCCAAUCAAACCGGGAGAUAGCUGGUUCUCCCCGAAAGCUAUUUAGGUAGCGCCUCGUGAAUUCAUCUCCGGGGGUAGAGCACUGUUUCGGCAAGGGGGUCAUCCCGACUUACCAACCCGAUGCAAACUGCGAAUACCGGAGAAUGUUAUCACGGGAGACACACGGCGGGUGCUAACGUCCGUCGUGAAGAGGGAAACAACCCAGACCGCCAGCUAAGGUCCCAAAGUCAUGGUUAAGUGGGAAACGAUGUGGGAAGGCCCAGACAGCCAGGAUGUUGGCUUAGAAGCAGCCAUCAUUUAAAGAAAGCGUAAUAGCUCACUGGUCGAGUCGGCCUGCGCGGAAGAUGUAACGGGGCUAAACCAUGCACCGAAGCUGCGGCAGCGACGCUGAUGCGUUGUUGGGUAGGGGAGCGUUCUGUAAGCCUGUGAAGGUGUGCUGUGAGGCAUGCUGGAGGUAUCAGAAGUGCGAAUGCUGACAUAAGUAACGAUAAAGCGGGUGAAAAGCCCGCUCGCCGGAAGACCAAGGGUUCCUGUCCAACGUUAAUCGGGGCAGGGUGAGUCGACCCCUAAGGCGAGGCCGAAAGGCGUAGUCGAUGGGAAACAGGUUAAUAUUCCUGUACUUGGUGUUACUGCGAAGGGGGGACGGAGAAGGCUAUGUUGGCCGGGCGACGGUUGUCCCGGUUUAAGCGUGUAGGCUGGUUUUCCAGGCAAAUCCGGAAAAUCAAGGCUGAGGCGUGAUGACGAGGCACUACGGUGCUGAAGCAACAAAUGCCCUGCUUCCAGGAAAAGCCUCUAAGCAUCAGGUAACAUCAAAUCGUACCCCAAACCGACACAGGUGGUCAGGUAGAGAAUACCAAGGCGCUUGAGAGAACUCGGGUGAAGGAACUAGGCAAAAUGGUGCCGUAACUUCGGGAGAAGGCACGCUGAUAUGUAGGUGAAGUCCCUCGCGGAUGGAGCUGAAAUCAGUCGAAGAUACCAGCUGGCUGCAACUGUUUAUUAAAAACACAGCACUGUGCAAACACGAAAGUGGACGUAUACGGUGUGACGCCUGCCCGGUGCCGGAAGGUUAAUUGAUGGGGUCAGCGCAAGCGAAGCUCUUGAUCGAAGCCCCGGUAAACGGCGGCCGUAACUAUAACGGUCCUAAGGUAGCGAAAUUCCUUGUCGGGUAAGUUCCGACCUGCACGAAUGGCGUAAUGAUGGCCAGGCUGUCUCCACCCGAGACUCAGUGAAAUUGAACUCGCUGUGAAGAUGCAGUGUACCCGCGGCAAGACGGAAAGACCCCGUGAACCUUUACUAUAGCUUGACACUGAACAUUGAGCCUUGAUGUGUAGGAUAGGUGGGAGGCUUAGAAGUGUGGACGCCAGUCUGCAUGGAGCCGACCUUGAAAUACCACCCUUUAAUGUUUGAUGUUCUAACGUUGACCCGUAAUCCGGGUUGCGGACAGUGUCUGGUGGGUAGUUUGACUGGGGCGGUCUCCUCCUAAAGAGUAACGGAGGAGCACGAAGGUUGGCUAAUCCUGGUCGGACAUCAGGAGGUUAGUGCAAUGGCAUAAGCCAGCUUGACUGCGAGCGUGACGGCGCGAGCAGGUGCGAAAGCAGGUCAUAGUGAUCCGGUGGUUCUGAAUGGAAGGGCCAUCGCUCAACGGAUAAAAGGUACUCCGGGGAUAACAGGCUGAUACCGCCCAAGAGUUCAUAUCGACGGCGGUGUUUGGCACCUCGAUGUCGGCUCAUCACAUCCUGGGGCUGAAGUAGGUCCCAAGGGUAUGGCUGUUCGCCAUUUAAAGUGGUACGCGAGCUGGGUUUAGAACGUCGUGAGACAGUUCGGUCCCUAUCUGCCGUGGGCGCUGGAGAACUGAGGGGGGCUGCUCCUAGUACGAGAGGACCGGAGUGGACGCAUCACUGGUGUUCGGGUUGUCAUGCCAAUGGCACUGCCCGGUAGCUAAAUGCGGAAGAGAUAAGUGCUGAAAGCAUCUAAGCACGAAACUUGCCCCGAGAUGAGUUCUCCCUGACUCCUUGAGAGUCCUGAAGGAACGUUGAAGACGACGACGUUGAUAGGCCGGGUGUGUAAGCGCAGCGAUGCGUUGAGCUAACCGGUACUAAUGAACCGUGAGGCUUAACCUUACAACGCCGAAGGUGUUU
rnacentral:rRNA from 1 species